UUUCCGUAGGUGAACCUGCGGAAGGAUCAUUAGUGAAUUGAAUAUGUUAGCGGACCUCUUCGGAGUCCCUAGCAUCAAAUCGUAUCCAUAACAUCUGUGAACUGUAAGGCUGUCUUGAAAACAAAACUGAUUAGAGCGCCUGCCCAUUUUAGACAAACAUUAAAGUAACAAACGUAGUCAUUAUAAUCUAAUAAAACUUUCAACAACGGAUCUCUUGGCUCUC
rnacentral:misc_RNA from 1 species